rnacentral:lncRNA from 1 species
AUGUGGGGGCUAUAUACAGGGGGUACUGGUACAGAGUCAAUGUGGGGGCUAUAUACAGGGGGUACCGGUACAGAGUCAAUGUGGAGGCUAUAUACAGGGGGUACUGGUACAGAGUCAAUGUGGAGGCUAUAUACAGGGGGUACCGGUACAGAGUCAAUGUGGGGGCUAUAUACAGGGGGUACUGGUACAGAGUCAAUGUGGGGGCUAUAUACAGGGGGUACCGGUACAGAGUCAAUGUGGAGGCUAUAUACAGGGGGUACUGGUUCAGAGUCAAUGUGGAGGCUAUAUACAGGGGGUACUGGUACAGAGUCAAUGUGGAGGCUAUAUACAGGGGGUACCGGUUCAGAGUCAAUGUGGAGGCUAUAUACAGGGGGUACCGGUACAGAGUCAAUGUGGAGGCUAUAUACAGGGGGUACUGGUACAGAGUCAAUGUGGAGGCUUUAUACAGGGGUACUGGUACAGAGUCAAUGUGGAGAUUAUAUACAGGAGGUACCGGUACAGAGUCAAUGUGGAGGCUAUAUACAGGAGGUACUGGUACAGAGUCAAUGUGGGGGCUAUAUACAGGGGGUACCGGUACAGAGUCAAUGUGGGGGCUAUAUACAGGGGGUACUGGUACAGAGUCAAUGUGGAGGCUAUAUACAGGGGGUACAAGGUACAGAGUCAAUGUGGAGGCUAUAUACAGGGGGUACCGGUACAGAGUCAAUGUGGAGGCUAUAUACAGGGGGUACCGGUUCAGAGUCAAUGUGGGGGCUAUAUACAGGGGGUACUGGUACAGAGUCAAUGUGGGGGCUAUAUACAGGGGGUACCGGUACAGAGUCAAUGUGGGGGCUAUAUACAGGGGGUACCGGUUCAGAGUCAAUGUGGAGGCUAUAUACAGGGGGUACAAGGUACAGAGUCAAUGUGGAGGCUAUAUACAGGGGGUACCGGUACAGAGUCAAUGUGGAGGCUAUAUACAGGGGGUACCGGUACAGAGUCAAUGUGGGGGCUAUAUACAGGAGGUACCGGUUCAGAGUCAAUGUGGAGGCUAUAUACAGGGGGUACCGGUUCAGAGUCAAUGUGGAGGCUAUAUACAGGGGGUACAAGGUACAGAGUCAAUGUGGAGGCUAUAUACAGGGGGUACCGGUACAGAGUCAAUGUGGAGGCUAUAUACAGGGGGUACCGGUUCAGAGUCAAUGUGGGGGCUAUAUACAGGGGGUACUGGUACAGAGUCAAUGUGGGGGCUAUAUACAGGGGGUACCGGUACAGAGUCAAUGUGGGGGCUAUAUACAGGGGGUACUGGUUCAGAGUCAAUGUGGAGGCUAUAUACAGGGGGUACUGGUUCAGAGUCAAUGUGGAGGCUAUAUACAGGGGGUACCGGUUCAGAGUCAAUGUGGAGGCUAUAUACAGGGGGUACCGGUACAGAGUCAAUGUGGAGGCUAUAUACAGGGGGUACCGGUACAGAGUCAAUGUGGAGGCUUUAUACAGGGGGUACUGGUACAGAGUCAAUGUGGAGGCUAUAUACAGGGGGUACUGGUUCAGAGUCAAUGUGGAGGCUAUAUACAGGGGGUACCGGUACAGAGUCAAUGUGGAGGCUAUAUACAGGGGGUACUGGUACAGAGUCAAUGUGGGGGCUAUAUACAGGGGGUACUGGUACAGAGUCAAUGUGGAGGCUAUAUACAGGGGGUACCGGUACAGAGUCAAUGUGGGGGCUAUAUACAGGGGGUACUGGUACAGAGUCAAUGUGGAGGCUAUAUACAGGGGGUACUGGUUCAGAGUCAAUGUGGAGGCUAUAUACAGGGGGUACUGGUACAGAGUCAAUGUGCAGGCUAUAUACAGGGGGUACUGGUACAGAGUCAAUGUGGAGGCUAUAUACAGGGGGUACUGGUACAGAGUCAAUGUGGGGGCUAUAUACAGGGGGUACAAGGUACAGAGUCAAUGUGGAGGCUAUAUACAGGGGGUACCGGUACAGAGUCAAUGUGGAGGCUAUAUACAGGGGGUACCGGUUCAGAGUCAAUGUGGGGGCUAUAUACAGGGGGUACUGGUACAGAGUCAAUGUGGGGGCUAUAUACAGGGGGUACCGGUACAGAGUCAAUGUGGGGGCUAUAUACAGGGGGUACUGGUACAGAGUCAAUGUGGAGGCUAUAUACAGGGGGUACCGGUUCAGAGUCAAUGUGGAGGCUAUAUACAGGGGGUACCGGUACAGAGUCAAUGUGGGGGCUAUAUACAGGAGGUACCGGUUCAGAGUCAAUGUGGAGGCUAUAUACAGGGGGUACCGGUUCAGAGUCAAUGUGGAGGCUAUAUACAGGGGGUACAAGGUACAGAGUCAAUGUGGAGGCUAUAUACAGGGGGUACCGGUACAGAGUCAAUGUGGAGGCUAUAUACAGGGGGUACCGGUUCAGAGUCAAUGUGGAGGCUAUAUACAGGGGGUACCGGUUCAGAGUCAAUGUGGGGGCUAUAUACAGGGGGUACUGGUACAGAGUCAAUGUGGGGGCUAUAUACAGGGGGUACCGGUACAGAGUCAAUGUGGGGGCUAUAUACAGGGGGUACUGGUACAGAGUCAAUGUGGAGGCUAUAUACAGGGGGUACUGGUUCAGAGUCAAUGUGGAGGCUAUAUACAGGGGGUACCGGUUCAGAGUCAAUGUGGAGGCUAUAUACAGGGGGUACCGGUACAGAGUCAAUGUGGAGGCUAUAUACAGGGGGUACCGGUACAGAGUCAAUGUGGAGGCUUUAUACAGGGGGUACUGGUACAGAGUCAAUGUGGAGGCUAUAUACAGGGGGUACUGGUUCAGAGUCAAUGUGGAGGCUAUAUACAGGGGGUACCGGUACAGAGUCAAUGUGGAGGCUAUAUACAGGGGGAACUGGUACAGAGUCAAUGUGGGGGCUAUAUACAGGGGGUACUGGUACAGAGUCAAUGUGGAGGCUAUAUACAGGGGGUACCGGUUCAGAGUCAAUGUGGAGGCUAUAUACAGGGGGUACCGGUACAGAGUCAAUGUGGGGGCUAUAUACAGGAGGUACCGGUUCAGAGUCAAUGUGGAGGCUAUAUACAGGGGGUACCGGUUCAGAGUCAAUGUGGAGGCUAUAUACAGGGGGUACAAGGUACAGAGUCAAUGUGGAGGCUAUAUACAGGGGGUACCGGUACAGAGUCAAUGUGGAGGCUAUAUACAGGGGGUACCGGUUCAGAGUCAAUGUGGAGGCUAUAUACAGGGGGUACCGGUUCAGAGUCAAUGUGGGGGCUAUAUACAGGGGGUACUGGUACAGAGUCAAUGUGGGGGCUAUAUACAGGGGGUACCGGUACAGAGUCAAUGUGGGGGCUAUAUACAGGGGGUACUGGUACAGAGUCAAUGUGGAGGCUAUAUACAGGGGGUACUGGUUCAGAGUCAAUGUGGAGGCUAUAUACAGGGGGUACCGGUUCAGAGUCAAUGUGGAGGCUAUAUACAGGGGGUACCGGUACAGAGUCAAUGUGGAGGCUAUAUACAGGGGGUACCGGUACAGAGUCAAUGUGGAGGCUUUAUACAGGGGGUACUGGUACAGAGUCAAUGUGGAGGCUAUAUACAGGGGGUACCGGUACAGAGUCAAUGUGGGGGCUAUAUACAGGGGGUACCGGUUCAGAGUCAAUGUGGAGGCUAUAUACAGGGGGUACUGGUUCAGAGUCAAUGUGGAGGCUAUAUACAGGGGGUACCGGUUCAGAGUCAAUGUGGAGGCUAUAUACAGGGGGUACCGGUACAGAGUCAAUGUGGAGGCUAUAUACAGGGGGUACCGGUACAGAGUCAAUGUGGAGGCUUUAUACAGGGGGUACUGGUACAGAGUCAAUGUGGAGGCUAUAUACAGGGGGUACCGGUUCAGAGUCAAUGUGGGGGCUAUAUACAGGGGGUACUGGUUCAGAGUCAAUGUGGAGGCUAUAUACAGGGGGUACUGGUUCAGAGUCAAUGUGGAGGCUAUAUACAGGGGGUACCGGUUCAGAGUCAAUGUGGAGGCUAUAUACAGGGGGUACCGGUACAGAGUCAAUGUGGAGGCUAUAUACAGGGGGUACCGGUACAGAGUCAAUGUGGAGGCUUUAUACAGGGGGUACUGGUACAGAGUCAAUGUGGAGGCUAUAUACAGGGGGUACUGGUUCAGAGUCAAUGUGGAGGCUAUAUACAGGGGGUACCGGUACAGAGUCAAUGUGGAGGCUAUAUACAGGGGGUACUGGUACAGAGUCAAUGUGGGGGCUAUAUACAGGGGGUACUGGUACAGAGUCAAUGUGGAGGCUAUAUACAGGGGGUACCGGUACAGAGUCAAUGUGGGGGCUAUAUACAGGGGGUACUGGUACAGAGUCAAUGUGGAGGCUAUAUACAGGGGGUACUGGUUCAGAGUCAAUGUGGAGGCUAUAUACAGGGGGUACUGGUACAGAGUCAAUGUGCAGGCUAUAUACAGGGGGUACUGGUACAGAGUCAAUGUGGAGGCUAUAUACAGGGGGUACUGGUACAGAGUCAAUGUGGGGGCUAUAUACAGGGGGUACAAGGUACAGAGUCAAUGUGGAGGCUAUAUACAGGGGGUACCGGUACAGAGUCAAUGUGGAGGCUAUAUACAGGGGGUACCGGUUCAGAGUCAAUGUGGGGGCUAUAUACAGGGGGUACUGGUACAGAGUCAAUGUGGGGGCUAUAUACAGGGGGUACCGGUACAGAGUCAAUGUGGGGGCUAUAUACAGGGGGUACUGGUACAGAGUCAAUGUGGAGGCUAUAUACAGGGGGUACCGGUUCAGAGUCAAUGUGGAGGCUAUAUACAGGGGGUACCGGUACAGAGUCAAUGUGGAGGCUAUAUACAGGGGGUACCGGUACAGAGUCAAUGUGGAGGCUUUAUACAGGGGGUACUGGUACAGAGUCAAUGUGGAGGCUAUAUACAGGGGGUACCGGUUCAGAGUCAAUGUGGGGGCUAUAUACAGGGGGUACUGGUUCAGAGUCAAUGUGGAGGCUAUAUACAGGGGGUACUGGUUCAGAGUCAAUGUGGAGGCUAUAUACAGGGGGUACCGGUUCAGAGUCAAUGUGGAGGCUAUAUACAGGGGGUACCGGUACAGACUCAAUGUGGAGGCUAUAUACAGGGGGUACCGGUACAGAGUCAAUGUGGAGGCUUUAUACAGGGGGUACUGGUACAGAGUCAAUGUGGAGGCUAUAUACAGGGGGUACUGGUUCAGAGUCAAUGUGGAGGCUAUAUACAGGGGGUACCGGUACAGAGUCAAUGUGGAGGCUAUAUACAGGGGGUACUGGUACAGAGUCAAUGUGGGGGCUAUAUACAGGGGGUACUGGUACAGAGUCAAUGUGGAGGCUAUAUACAGGGGGUACCGGUACAGAGUCAAUGUGGGGGCUAUAUACAGGGGGUACUGGUACAGAGUCAAUGUGGAGGCUAUAUACAGGGGGUACUGGUUCAGAGUCAAUGUGGAGGCUAUAUACAGGGGGUACUGGUACAGAGUCAAUGUGCAGGCUAUAUACAGGGGGUACUGGUACAGAGUCAAUGUGGAGGCUAUAUACAGGGGGUACUGGUACAGAGUCAAUGUGGGGGCUAUAUACAGGGGGUACAAGGUACAGAGUCAAUGUGGAGGCUAUAUACAGGGGGUACCGGUACAGAGUCAAUGUGGAGGCUAUAUACAGGGGGUACCGGUUCAGAGUCAAUGUGGGGGCUAUAUACAGGGGGUACUGGUACAGAGUCAAUGUGGGGGCUAUAUACAGGGGGUACCGGUACAGAGUCAAUGUGGGGGCUAUAUACAGGGGGUACUGGUACAGAGUCAAUGUGGAGGCUAUAUACAGGGGGUACCGGUUCAGAGUCAAUGUGGAGGCUAUAUACAGGGGGUACCGGUACAGAGUCAAUGUGGGGGCUAUAUACAGGAGGUACCGGUUCAGAGUCAAUGUGGAGGCUAUAUACAGGGGGUACCGGUUCAGAGUCAAUGUGGAGGCUAUAUACAGGGGGUACAAGGUACAGAGUCAAUGUGGAGGCUAUAUACAGGGGGUACCGGUACAGAGUCAAUGUGGAGGCUAUAUACAGGGGGUACCGGUUCAGAGUCAAUGUGGAGGCUAUAUACAGGGGGUACCGGUUCAGAGUCAAUGUGGGGGCUAUAUACAGGGGGUA